UACGUAGGUGGCAAGCGUUGUUCGGAAUUAUUGGGCGUAAAGGGCGCGUAGGCGGUCUUGUAAGUCCGCUGUGAAAGUCGGGGGCUCAACCCUCGGAUGCCGGUGGAUACUGUCGGGCUUGAGUACGGAAGAGGCGAGUGGAAUUCCUGGUGUAGCGGCGAAAUGCGCAGAUAUCAGGAGGAACACCGAUUGCGAAGGCAGCUCGCUGGGACGUAACUGACGCUGAGACGCGAAAGCGUGGGGAGCAAACAGG
rnacentral:rRNA from 1 species